CACCCGCACCUGCGAACGUGGCUAGGGUCUCCCUUCCAAUCGGCUCACAACCUCUCAUUCACGCCGCUCUCCUCGCUCCUCUCCUCUCCCGUGCGACGCUGGAUCUCGCCGCCCCGUCGCCUUUGUGCACGUCGUCGGCGCGCCCCCUCGCUGCUGCGCAGGUAGAACUCUCUUCCUCUCUCAUCUCCCUGUCCGUCUCUUCCCCUUUCCAUCCCCGGUUCUCUGCCGCUCGCGUUGCUUCUUCUGCAGAUGCAGAUGGGUGAGCGGACAGAGCGGCGGCCUCCUCCGGCCACGGAUGAGAAGGAAGACAAGGUGAGAAUUAGAGAUGUUCGUCGAGCUCUGUGUGUGGCUGGCCCCGAUGUUUUUCCUUCUCUCAACGCCCCAUCUGGAUUAGGCUAGAGCUCCCCAGGGAACCAAACACGCCCAUAGGCGUAUUGGUGUUCGGCCCAACAACCACUGCUGUUCCCCGACCCGCGGUAGCACUGAUUGGCCUGGACCGCCACUCUGGUACAGGGCUGUGUUUCGAAAUAGCACAGGUAAGAUGGGCCCGUGACCUUUGUGAACCAGAUAUAUCCACGUGACCAGGUUGGCUCGGCAUCCCCUUUUCUUCCACAGAAGCUCAGCUCGGCGGCUGCUGUCUUCUUUCAGACACACGCACAACAGCGGUAGUUCUCCAUCGGCGAUAUGUCGACAGAUGGACUUGUCCUCGACGGGAGGAGGGGAGUAAAGUUCGCUGGAUGGAAUUCGGCCAUGCUACCAGUGGAAUCCCAGGAUUCCAUGAGUGUUGCACCUGUAGAGAUGGACAAGGGCGGCAAAGCACAGCAAGCUGUAGGUGGACAGAGAUACGAGGUGUGCUCUGAGACACUGCUACAGGGUAAGGCUGGGUAAAUCACCUGAUGAGAGGGAGAUGAUCCCCGACAGGAAGACAUCACUUGAAUUGUCUGUCCGUGCUUACGCAGAGAAUGGGGAAGGCCAUGUUAUGAAUCCCAAGAUUGGCACAACAUUUGACUCUCUCAAUGAGGCCUAUUGAGUUUUAGAACCUGUAUUCCUGGAAAACUGGAUUUGGUAUACGGCUAGCAAAAAGCAAGCUGAAUGUCCAAAGGACGAGAUGCAUGCAAGAGAUUGUGUGUGCAUGUGCGGUACGUCUCUUGAGAAAUCAUGUCUCAUCAAUUGGCCGUGCGAUUGGUAAUCGAAACAAGUAUCCAUACAAUACUAAAUGGAAUAAACUAUGUUUCUUGAAGGGUACCCCAUUGAAGGUGAACAUCCCUUCGUCUAGGUGUGGUUGAAAUGCAAUGAUAAGGCUGUUGGGGUCAAAAGAUGCUGGUUGGUACAUAUCGGAGCACAAAGUAGGGCACAAUAUUUUCUGUUCAUGCUUGCAAUCAAGAGAGAACAUCUCACAUUUGCAAAAAAAAAAAUCGGAUGCAGGUGAUGGUGCACUUCCGGUUGUAGAAAAUACCACAGAAGCAUAUACUUAAGCAAUGGACAAGAGAAGCGUGUGACGUUCUUCCAGAACAUUUGGUUAGGUAUCAGAGAGACAGAGGACCUCCAGCUAGUGAUAAAUCCAGGCAUCACACUAUGUACAUGAAGGCGUUGGAAUGUGUGGUGCUUGGCGACAGCAAUGUCAAGUGCUUUUAUGUUUUCAUGGCUGUGAUGAAGGAGGUGUAUGCGACUCUGCUUCCGCUGAGUGUCGAUAAAGAUGGAAUGGAGCUUGCAGACAAAGAGAAACAGCAGCAGAUUGUAGCGGAAACCCAACAUGAAUCAGUAGAGGCAAAUGUUGUGCUGCAUAAAGAUACCGGUGAUGGUGAAUCAAGUUGCUCAGGUGUAGGUGUGAAUGAGAAGAAGAGGCAGAGGGGAAGUCUGACAACAAGCAGAGACAAGGCGCCUUACGAGCAACAGCUUAAGACGUCGCAGUUUUGCACAAUCUGCAGAGAGCAGGGACAAGUGUACAACUUGCCCACAACAAGGCGAUUUACCAAAGGCUCCAAGGAAAUCGCCAAAAUGCACACAUUGUGGGGUGGUUGGACAUCGGCGCAAUACUUGCGGCACUAAAAAAACCGGGGCCUUUGAGCCAAACUUCCUCUAGAAUCAGUUAAUUUGCCACAUGCUCAACGUAAUUUAUACUUGCAAAAAUGUGUUGCAAGGACUCACGUUGCAUGCUCCAAACGUUUCAUUUGUUGCUUCAGCUAUCAGAACUUUUAUUUGAUGCUUGCAUGGUUUGGCCGAUUGUAUUUUACUUGUCCUGCUUGUGUCUUGCAUUCAUAAUUACUGGAUCAAAA